rnacentral:rRNA from 1 species
UGGGGAAUAUUGGACAAUGGGCGAAAGCCUGAUCCAGCCAUGCCGCGUGUGUGAAGAAGGUCUUCGGAUUGUAAAGCUCUUUAAGUUGGGAGGAAGGGCAGUAAGCGAAUACCUUGCUGUUUUGACGUUACCGACAGAAUAAGCACCGGCUAACUCUGUGCCAGCAGCCGCGGUAAUACAGAGGGUGCAAGCGUUAAUCGGAAUUACUGGGCGUAAAGCGCGCGUAGGUGGUUCGUUAAGUUGAAUGUGAAAGCCCCGGGCUCAACCUGGGAACUGCAUCCAAAACUGGCGAGCUAGAGUAGGGCAGAGGGUGGGGGAAUAUCCUGUGUAGCGGUGAAAUGCGUAGAUAUAGGAAGGAACACCAGUGGCGAAGGCGACCACCUGGGCGCAUACUGACACUGAGGUGCGAAAGCGUGGGGAGCAAACAGG